rnacentral:misc_RNA from 1 species
GCAAACUUGGUCAUUUAGAGGAAGUAAAAGUCGUAACAAGGUUUCCGUAGGUGAACCUGCGGAAGGAUCAUUAAAAAAAUUAAGCUUGGUUCUUUAACCAAGUCUUUAAACCUUACUACCCAUGUGCACUGAUUGAGCCUUUUUUUUUAAAAAAGGUGUAAUCUUUCCAAUCUAUCCUUUUGACUGACUUUUUUAAAUAAAAUAAAAUUUGAUAACAACUUUCAACAACGGAUCUCUUGGCUCUCGCAUCGAUGAAGAACGCAGC